rnacentral:rRNA from 1 species
GACGGUCACGCCGCGUGAGGGAUGAAGGCCUCUGGGCUGUAAACUCUUUUAUCAAGGAAGAAGAUCUGACGGUACUUGAUGAAUAAGCCACGGCUAAUUCCGUGCCAGCAGCCGCGGUAAUACGGGAGUGGCAAGCGUUAUCCGGAAUUAUUGGGCGUAAAGCGUCCGCAGGCGGUCUUGUAAGUCUGUCGUUAAAGCGUGGAGCUUAACUCCAUUUGAGCGAUGGAAACUGCAAGACUAGAGUGUGGUAGGGGCAGAGGGAAUUCCCGGUGUAGCGGUGAAAUGCGUAGAUAUCGGGAAGAACACCAGUGGCGAAGGCGCUCUGCUGGGCCAUAACUGACGCUCAUGGACGAAAGCCAGGGGAGCGAAAGGGAUUAGAUACCCCUGUAGUCCUGGCCGUAAACGAUGAACACUAGGUGUCGGGGGAAUCGACCCCCUCGGUGUCGUAGCCAACGCGUUAAGUGUUCCGCCUGGGGAGUACGCACGCAAGUGUGAAACUCAAAGGAAUUGACGGGGGCCCGCACAAGCGGUGGAGUAUGUGGUUUAAUUCGAUGCAACGCGAAGAACCUUACCAGGGUUUGACAUCCUGCGAAUCCCUUGGAAACGAGGGAGUGCCUUCGGGAGCGCAGUGACAGGUGGUGCAUGGCUGUCGUCAGCUCGUGUUCGUGAGAUGUGGGUUACGUCCGCAACGAGCGC